rnacentral:rRNA from 1 species
GACGAACGCUGGCGGCGUGCUUAACACAUGCAAGUCGAACGGAAAGGCCCUGCUUUUGUGGGGUGGACGAGUGGCGAACGGGUGAGUAACACGUGAGUAACCUGCCCUUGACUUUGGGAUAACUUCUGGAAACUGCGGCUAAUACCGGAUAGGAGCUCCGGCUGCAUGGUGGUGGUUGGAAAGUUUUGGCGGUUGGGGAUGGACUCGCGGCUUAUCAGCUUGUUGGUGGGGUAGUGGCUUACCAAGGCUUUGACGGGUAGCCGGCCUGAGAGGGUGACCGGCCACAAUGGGACUGAGAUACGGCCCAGACUCCUACGGGAGGCAGAAGUGGGGAAUAUUGCACAAUGGGCGGAAGCCUGAUGCAGCAACGCCGCGUGCGGGAUGACGGCCUUCGGGUUGUAAACCGCUUUCGACUGUGACGAAGCGUGAGUGACGGUAACUGGUAAAGAAGCACCGGCUAACUACGUG